UACGGAGGGGGCAAUCGUUGUCCGGAUUUAUUGGGCGUAAAGAGCGUGUAGGCGGCUUGGUAGGUCCGCUGUGAAAACUCGAGGCUCAACCUCGAGAUGUCGGCGGAAACCACUUGGCUAGAGUCCGGAAGAGGAGAGUGGAAUUCCUGGUGUAGCGGUGAAAUGCGCAGAUAUCAGGAAGAACACCUAUGGCGAAGGCAGCUCUCUGGGACGGUACUGACGCUGAGACGCGAAAGCGUGGGGAGCAAACAGG
rnacentral:rRNA from 1 species